AGAGUCUUUUUAUUUUCUGUUUAACGGGAAGCGCCGACCCAAUUUUUUCAAAAUACCGAAUAAAAAUAAAAGAGGUCAAUUUCACUUUUAUUUUCAAAAUACCCGCCGACUGUGUCAUUCAUUGAUGUUUUGAAAUAAAAUCGGGUUUGAUGUACACCUUAUUUCUAACGAAUCAUGUAAACGUUUGAAAUAGCUUGUGUGAAUCAAAGUCUUUUACGAGCGUCCUGCUGAUUACGAUGUCGUAACCAGUUAAAGGAACUAGUUUAUCACACUUCCCGGGUUCUAUCAACAAGCAAGAAUGUCAUUUCAAGACAAUAAUAGACGGUAAUUUUAAAAUCCAUUGAUGAUGAAAACAAGAAAGUUCUUGAAAUGGGAGUUAAAACAUUGACAACCUAAAUACACCAGAUGCACACUGAACUGUGGAGCAGUUGGGAUCCGAGUCCAUGUCUAAUUGGUUGAAUAAAAUGAGGCUAGGAUUCCUACACAAUUACAAGAGUUGGUAUAGAAUACUGACAAGUGAAUUGACAGCUAUAUUGGAGUUGCACAUAUCCUGUGGAAAGUUUGAUUUCUUGGCAGAGACCCAUGCAACUAUUUGUGAAGAGUUCAGAAGACUUCCUGGUCCACAAUGACUUUGCUGUUGUUCAUCAAAAAGUUCAGCUGACAAAUUUCUAUUCGGAACCUCAAAAAUGUGUUAUCCCUUUAUAUUAAGAUAGCAUUGUCAAGUUAGCUAUCAACCCCAUUGUUUUUUUUAACUUCUCUUAAAUCAUAAUAUACAUGUAGCUUAAAACUAUAAAUUUUACACAAUAGAUAGAUGAUCACUUGAAGACCUGUGUAAAAUUUUAAGCAGUGUUUUUUCUGUCAUCUGCGUCUAUCCAACAUAAUGGUUGCUGUAUAACAAAUUUAAGUUAUAAUAUUAUAUUGAUUUGCUUUCAUACUAGAAUAAAUGUGCAAGUGUGAUUAACCACAGUAGGGUAACUUAUGCAGUUGUAUCUUUUUAUCCGUAUUUGAAAUCCAAAUACAUUGCAAACAAAAUUGUAUUGUGUUUUCUUUCGUUUUUUAACAUUUAAAUGAAAAAAAAAAUUCACACCAUUUUUUGGUUUUAUUUUUAUUA